CACGUAGGGGACGAGCGUUGUCCGGAUUCAUUGGGCGUAAAGCGCGCGUAGGCGGCUCGGAAAGUCGGUCGUGAAAUGCCGGGGCUCAACCCCGGGACUGCGUCCGAUACUCCCGAGCUGGAGGCAGGUAGGGGAGAUCGGAAUUCCUGGUGUAGCGGUGAAAUGCGCAGAUAUCAGGAGGAACACCAAUAGCGAAGGCAGCUCGCUGGGACGUUACUGACACUGAGGCGCGAAAGCGUGGGGAGCGAACAGG
rnacentral:rRNA from 1 species